rnacentral:rRNA from 1 species
UUAAAACAGUUAUAGUUUAUUUGAUGGUCACUUUUACAUGGAUAACCAUGGUAAUUCUAUGGCUAAUACAUGCGCACUCGCCUCCUUCUCUGGAGGGGCUGUGUUUAUUAGAUACAAAACCCAACCCACUUUGUGGAGUCCUGGUGAUUCAUAGUAACCGAACGGAUCGCAGUUGGCUUCGGCCCGCGAUAUAUCUUUCAAGUUUCUGACCUAUCAGCUUUCGACGGUAGGGUAUUGGCCUACCGUGGCAGUGACGGGUAACGGGGAAUUAGGGUUCGAUUCCGGAGAGGGAGCCUGAGAAACGGCUACCACAUCUAAGGAAGGCAGCAGGCGCGCAAAUUACCCAAUGAAAACAGCUUCGAGGUAGUGACGAGAAAUAACAAUACAGGGCAUUUUUUGUUCUGUAAUUGGAAUGAUGGGAAUGUAAAACCCUUUCAGAGUAACAAUUGGAGGGCAAGUCUGGUGCCAGCAGCCGCGGUAAUUCCAGCUCCAAUAGUGUAUAUUAGAGUUGUUGCAGUUAAAAAGCUCGUAGUUGGAUUUCUGUCGUGGUCAUCCGGUUCCGCCCGUAUGGGUGUGCACCUGGUUUGCCCUCGGCUUUCUUCCGUUUGCCUCUUGGCGCUUCAUUGCGUCUUUUGGUUUUUCGGAACUUUUACUUUGAGAAAAAUAGAGUGUUUCAAGCAGGCUUGUCGCCCUGAAUACUUCAGCAUGGAAUAAUAAGAUAGGACCUUGGUUCUAUUUU